rnacentral:rRNA from 1 species
UACGUAGGUGGCAAGCGUUGUCCGGAUUUACUGGGCGUAAAGAGCGCGCAGGCGGUCGUUCAAGUCGCGUGUGAAAGCCCCCGGCUUAACUGGGGAGGGUCACGCGAUACUGAUCGACUCGAAGGCAGGAGAGGGAAGUGGAAUUCCCGGUGUAGUGGUGAAAUGCGUAGAUAUCGGGAGGAACACCAGUGGCGAAGGCGACUUCCUGGCCUGUUCUUGACGCUGAGGCGCGAAAGCUAGGGGAGCAAACAGG